CUUGAGUUGGGGAGAAACUGCGGACUGCAAAGGAACCAUCCAGAAGUUCCAAACAAUUGAUGUGGAGUGUCGAUUCAAGGUGUGACCAUCUGCCCUUGGUGGAAAUAUUUCUGCACUGAACGCCCCAGCUGUGAAAACUUGCGUCGGAUAUGAUUAUCAGAUCUGGAGCUGUACAGAAUAUGGUGCGUUCAUUCCAAGAUUCCAUGUGAAGAAGCCACCAUUGGAG